rnacentral:rRNA from 1 species
UACAGAGGGUGCAAGCGUUGUUCGGAAUUAUUGGGCGUAAAGCGCGUGUAGGCGGCUUUGCAAGUCGGGUGUGAAAGCCCUCAGCUCAACUGAGGAAGUGCGCCCGAAACUGCAGAGCUUGAGUACCGGAGAGGAUGGCGGAAUUCCCCAAGUAGAGGUGAAAUUCGUAGAUAUGGGGAGGAACACCGGUGGCGAAGGCGGUCACCUGGACGGAUACUGACGCUGAGACGCGAAAGCGUGGGGAGCAAACAGG